rnacentral:rRNA from 1 species
AUUGAACGCUGGCGGCAUGCCUUACACAUGCAAGUCGAACGGCAGCGGACCUUCGGGUGCUGGCGAGUGGCGAACGGGUGAGUAAUAUAUCGGAACGUACCUUUCAGUGGGGGAUAACGUAGCGAAAGUUACGCUAAUACCGCAUAUUCUGUGAGCAGGAAAGCAGGGGAUCGCAAGACCUUGCGCUGAUUGAGCGGCCGAUAUCAGAUUAGCUAGUUGGUGAGGUAAAGGCUCACCAAGGCGACGAUCUGUAGCGGGUCUGAGAGGAUGAUCCGCCACACUGGAACUGAGACACGGUCCAGACUCCUACGGGAGGCAGCAGUGGGGAAUUUUGGACAAUGGGCGGCAAGCCUGAUCCAGCCAUGCCGCGUGAGUGAAGAA